ACGGGAGGCAGCAGUGGGGGAUAUUGCACAAUGGGGGAAACCCUGAUGCAGCGACGCCGCGUGAGUGAUGAAGUAUUUUGGUAUGCAAAGCUCUAUCAGCAGGGAAGAAAAUGACGGUACCUGACUAAGAAGCACCGGCUAAAUACGUGCCAGCAGCCGCGGUAAUACGUAUGGUGCAAGCGUUAUCCGGAUUUACUGGGUGUAAAGGGAGCGUAGACGGCAUAGCAAGCCAGAUGUGAAAUGCGGGGGCUCAACCCCUGAACUGCAUUUGGAACUGUUAAGCUAGAGUACCGGAGAGGUAAGUGGAAUUCCUAGUGUAGCGGUGAAAUGCGUAGAUAUUAGGAGGAACACCAGUGGCGAAGGCGGCUUACUGGACGAUAACUGACGUUGAGGCUCGAAAGCGUGGGGAGCAAACAGGAUUAGAUACCCUGGUA
rnacentral:rRNA from 1 species